GGUCAAGCGAACAAGUGCAUGUGGUGGAUGCCUUGGCGAUCACAGGCGAUGAAGGACGCGGUAGCCUGCGAAAAGCUUCGGGGAGCUGGCAAACGAGCAUUGAUCCGAAGAUGUCCGAAUGGGGAAACCCGGCCCGUAUGGGUCAUCCAUGACUGAAUCCAUAGGUCAUGUGAAGCGAACGCGGUGAACUGAAACAUCUAAGUAACCGCAGGAAAAGAAAUCAACCGAGAUUCCCAAAGUAGUGGCGAGCGAAAUGGGAUCAGCCUGUACUCUUUAUCUGUGUUGUUAGCUGAACGCUCUGGAAAGUGCGGCCAUAGCAGGUGAUAGCCCUGUAAGCGAAAACAGCGUGGAAGAACUAGGGGUACGACAAGUAGGGCGGGACACGUGAAAUCCUGUCUGAAGAUGGGGGGACCAUCCUCCAAGGCUAAAUACUCGUGAUCGACCGAUAGUGAACCAGUACCGUGAGGGAAAGGCGAAAAGAACCCCGGGAGGGGAGUGAAAUAGAUCCUGAAACCGCAUGCAUACAAACAGUCGGAGCCUCGCAAGGGGUGACGGCGUACCUUUUGUAUAAUGGGUCAGCGACUUACGUUCAGUAGCGAGCUUAACUGAUUAAGGCAGGCGUAGCGAAAGCGAGUCCGAAUAGGGCGAUCAGUUGCUGGGCGUAGACCCGAAACCAAGUGAUCUAUCCAUGGCCAGGUUGAAGGUGCGGUAACACGUACUGGAGGACCGAACCCACUAACGUUGAAAAGUUAGGGGAUGAGCUGUGGAUAGGGGUGAAAGGCUAAACAAACUUGGAAAUAGCUGGUUCUCUCCGAAAACUAUUUAGGUAGUGCCUCGUGUAUCACCUUCGGGGGUAGAGCACUGUCAUGGUUGUGGGGUCCAUUGCGGAUUACUACGCCAUAGCAAACUCCGAAUACCGAAGAGUGCAAUCACGGGAGACAGACAUCGGGUGCUAACGUCCGGUGUCAAGAGGGAAACAACCCAGACCGCCAGCUAAGGUCCCAAAGAUUGGCUAAGUGGGAAACGAAGUGGGAAGGCUAAAACAGUCAGGAGGUUGGCUUAGAAGCAGCCACCCUUUAAAGAAAGCGUAAUAGCUCACUGAUCGAGUCGUCCUGCGCGGAAGAUGUAACGGGGCUCAAGCCAGUCACCGAAGCUGCGGAUGCGAGUUUUACUCGCAUGGUAGGAGAGCGUUCCGUAAGCCUGCGAAGGUGCGUUGAAAAGCGUGCUGGAGGUAUCGGAAGUGCGAAUGCUGACAUGAGUAGCGAUAAAGGGGGUGAAAAGCCCCCUCGCCGUAAGCCCAAGGUUUCCUACGCAACGUUCAUCGGCGUAGGGUGAGUCGGCCCCUAAGGCGAGGCAGAAAUGCGUAGCUGAUGGGAAGCAGGUCAAUAUUCCUGCACCAUUGUUAGAUGCGAUGGGGGGACGGAUCGCGGAAGGUUGUCCGGGUGUUGGACGUCCCGGUCGCUGCAUUGGAGAAGGUGCUCAGGCAAAUCCGGGCACAGGAUUCAAGGGUGUGGCGCGAGUGACUUCGGUCACGAAGCAAUUGGAAGUGGUUCCAAGAAAAGCCUCUAAGCUUCAGUCUAACGAUGACCGUACCGCAAACCGACACAGGUGGGCGAGAUGAGUAUUCUAAGGCGCUUGAGAGAACUCGGGAGAAGGAACUCGGCAAAUUGGUACCGUAACUUCGGGAUAAGGUACGCCUCUGUAGCUUGACUGGCCUGCGCCAGGAGGGUGAAGAGGUUGCAAUAAACUGGUGGCUGCGACUGUUUAAUAAAAACACAGCACUCUGCAAACACGAAAGUGGACGUAUAGGGUGUGACGCCUGCCCGGUGCCGGAAGAUUAAAUGAUGGGGUGCAAGCUCUUGAUUGAAGUCCCGGUAAACGGCGGCCGUAACUAUAACGGUCCUAAGGUAGCGAAAUUCCUUGUCGGGUAAGUUCCGACCUGCACGAAUGGCGUAACGAUGGCCACACUGUCUCCUCCCGAGACUCAGCGAAGUUGAAGUGUUUGUGAUGAUGCAAUCUCCCCGCGGCUAGACGGAAAGACCCCAUGAACCUUUACUGUAGCUUUGCAUUGGACUUUGAACCGAUCUGUGUAGGAUAGGUGGGAGGCUAUGAAGCCAGGACGCUAGUCUUGGUGGAGCCGUCCUUGAAAUACCACCCUGGUUUGUUUGAGGUUCUAACCUUGGUCCGUGAUCCGGAUCGGGGACAGUGCAUGGUAGGCAGUUUGACUGGGGCGGUCUCCUCCCAAAGUGUAACGGAGGAGUACGAAGGUACGCUAGGUACGGUCGGAAAUCGUGCUGAUAGUGCAAUGGCAUAAGCGUGCUUAACUGCGAGACCGACAAGUCGAGCAGGUGCGAAAGCAGGUCAUAGUGAUCCGGUGGUUCUGUAUGGAAGGGCCAUCGCUCAACGGAUAAAAGGUACUCUGGGGAUAACAGGCUGAUACCGCCCAAGAGUUCAUAUCGACGGCGGUGUUUGGCACCUCGAUGUCGGCUCAUCUCAUCCUGGGGCUGUAGCCGGUCCCAAGGGUAUGGCUGUUCGCCAUUUAAAGAGGUACGUGAGCUGGGUUUAAAACGUCGUGAGACAGUUUGGUCCCUAUCUGCCGUGGGCGUUGGAUAUUUGAAGGGGGCUGCUCCUAGUACGAGAGGACCGGAGUGGACGAACCUCUGGUGUACCGGUUGUCACGCCAGUGGCAUCGCCGGGUAGCUAUGUUCGGAAGAGAUAACCGCUGAAAGCAUCUAAGCGGGAAACUCGCCUUAAGAUGAGAUAUCCCCGGGGCUUCGAGCCCCUUGAAGGGUCGUUCCAGACCAGGACGUUGAUAGGUCAGGUGUGUAAGUGCAGUAAUGCAUUGAGCUAACUGAUACUAAUUGCCCGUAAGGCUUGAUCCU
rfam:Burkholderia sp. MR1 ctg65, whole genome shotgun sequence.